rnacentral:rRNA from 1 species
UAAAACGUAGGAGGCGAGCGUUAUCCGGAUUUACUGGGUGUAAAGCGCGUGCAGGCGGCGGGCUAAGUUGGAUGUGAAAGCUCCUGGCUCAACUGGGAGAGGUCGUUCAAAACUGGCUGGCUAGAGCGUGGUAAGGGAAGGUGGAAUUCCGGGAGUAGUGGUGAAAUGCGUAGAUAUCCGGAGGAACACCAGUGGCGAAGGCGGCCUUCUGGACCACGGCUGACGCUCAGACGCGAAAGCUAGGGUAGCAAACGGG